AUGCGUUUUUUGGGUUGUUCAUAUGGGUAUCUUAUCUUCUCCUGUAGGGAGCACUUCCUCCUUGUUGAUGCUUACACGUGCACUAAGGUGAAGCCCCCCAAACUCCCAGCAAAACGCAACUGUGAAAUCUAUUGUGGGUUCCUUAUGGCUCCACUCAGUUCGCCAAAGUCGCGCCUCCUCCUUUGCUCGCGAAAGUCCAUGUUCCUAUGGAAAGUUGGAACAACCUCCUGGACGGAGAGCCCCUUUGUUGGUGAAGCUAAAUUUAUUUAUCAGAUUGUGCUCUUUAAAGGUCAGAUGUUUGCCAUGGACUCUCUUUAUAGGCUCAAUACCAUAUCCUUGGCACCUCAGCUCGGCAUGCAGGAAGUAACAGUUUUGUGGGGAGAGGACGUGGUUGUUGUAGGCUCAAGUAAUGUUCCAUGGUUGGUGGUACGUGGUGACAUGCUUCUCAUGGUUGAUGUGGUUGAGUACUUCUUUCAAGUCUUCCGCUUAGAUUUCUCAGCCAAACCAGCUAAGUGGGUCAAACUGGAAAAGUUGGAAAAUUGGGCUAUGUUUGUUAGCAUUGGGUUGAGGCGCCCUACAUUUUCUUGCAUGAACCCUGAAAGAUGGGGUGGAAAGAGUAAUUGCAUUUACAUUUCGAGUCUUUCAUCUCAAGAUUCUGAUGCUCCUUGGAUAGCAACAGAGCUCGGUCAGUCGAUUUACAGUGCAGCUCACCGCGAUUCAUACGGAAGGCGCAAGGCAGGAGAUUGA
rnacentral:rRNA from 1 species